rnacentral:rRNA from 1 species
AUUGAACGCUGGCGGCAGGCCUAACACAUGCAAGUCGAACGAGUGGCGGACGGGUGAGUAAUGUCUGGGAAACUGCCCGAUGGAGGGGGAUAACUACUGGAAACGGUAGCUAAUACCGCAUACCAUCGGAUGUGCCCAGAUGGGAUUAGCUAGUAGGUGGGGUAACGGCUCACCUAGGCGACGAUCCCUCGCUGGUCUGAGAGGAUGAACAGGCCAACUGGGAAUGAGGAAAGGUCCAGAAUCCGACGGGAGGGCGCAGGGGGGAAUAUUGGACAAUGGGCGCAAGCCUUAUGGAGCCAAUGCGGGGUUAAUAAGAAGGCCUUCGGGUUGUAAAGUACUUUCAGCGAGGAGGCGUUACUCGCAGAAGAAGCACCGGCUAACUCCGUGCCAGCAGCCGCGGUAAUAC